rnacentral:misc_RNA from 1 species
GACCAGACUAUACUUAAAGCAUCUGUAAUCCGAGAAUCUUUAAGAAUCCCUUCUUGAAAUUAGAUACGUGCCCGGUGGAAUGAUCGAAUGGGAAAUUGUUUCAAGAAAUUGUGGAAUAUUUGAAAUUGUGAGAAACAGUAGCCAAAGGGUUGUCUUUGUGAGGGAAACUAUACUCUAUUUCAUACCAUAAGCUCGUUGAUGUGUUUAUCUAUGUUUGAAGCAGCUUCAGGAACCUUUUGAUGGAAAAGUAAUGAAUACGAUGAUGAGGAAAGAAAAGUUUAUGGCCCUAUUGGAAUUACUAUCUAAAAAAAGAUUUAAAAAGCCAUUUUUAACACAAAUUGAAAGAACACAGGCUUGAGCCUGGCAAUAUUUGUCACUGGAUCGAGUUGACAGUUUACAGAUGUAUGACCAGCCAUAGUCUACCAGUCGCUAUAGUCGAGAUGGCCCUACGACACUAAGCAACAACAUCAUAGUAUAACAAUCCAUAAGCAUCCAGCCAGAACUUAGCCUUAUUUGGUAAUAAGAAAAAUAAAAAAUCCAUAGUUGGAUCGCCCAAAAUUGUUAAAUGCAUAAUUAUCUUCGAUCUAUUAAUUAUUAUAGCCACUACUAAUUACUAGCCCUAUUUCGACCAUUAACCAGCUCAGGCUCAUAAUAAUUAUUUAUGUAAUCAUUAAUUAUUCAAAAAAUGGCUCGAUUUUAUAGGAACAAAAUUUGUUUAAAC